GGCUCAGCUUGGAAGUCGGGUCAGGCUGUCUGCGCUCUGCGUACCUUAUCGAUAAAAUAUUGGACCCGCCCACUCACAGGUUUCUGCAGGUCGAAUGAGCUAAUGUGACAGCCUAUUAAGAGGCCCAGGGAGAGUAAUUUGUACCGGAUCCCUGGGACCUGCCUGGUGUCAGCCUCUGUGCAGCUCCACCUGGAGGGUCUGAUGUGGGAACUGAGGCUGGCCUCAAA
rnacentral:lncRNA from 1 species